UGCCGUGCUAUAGACUGGGAAGAGAUGAUGCCAAAACAUGCCAUAUCCAAGACAGGGAUUAGAGUAGAUCAGGUUAUAAUUGAAAAAACUCUUAAACUACCAAAGCUAAUCUUGGUUCAACAAACACAAUACCUUCCUGGUCAUCAAAAAAAUUAUGAGAAUAUUGUUAGUCCCUAGUAUUGCAUGCUUGCCCAGUAUAUUCUAUUGGUUCGGGCUAA
rnacentral:lncRNA from 1 species